rnacentral:sRNA from 1 species
GUCCUCGAUCUGUUGCGGACAGAUAAAAUGGAUAUGGCUGUCAAAGCCGCCCGCCGUGAUGAUCCGGCCCUCGCCUGCAAUCGCCUCGGUUCCGGGACCGACAAUGAUGUCCACAUUCGGUUGCGUGUCGGGAUUGCCCGCCUUGCCAAUCCCCGCAAUCCGCCCGUCGCGCAGCCCGAUGUCGGCCUUGUAAAUGCCCGUCACAUCCACAAUCAGCGCAUUGGUAAUGACCGUAUCCACAGCCCCCUCGGCACGGGAUUUCUGGCUCUGGCCCAUGCCGUCGCGGAU